CUUACAUUCAGACGAAUCCAAUACAUUUUACACAUAGAACUUAGCUAUUUUACACAAAUAUAUUCCCUUACUGCAUAGACAUUUAGCAAAUAGACGAAUACAGUUUAAACAUAAUGUAAGUCCCAGGGCAGCUCAUGGCCAUCCGCUACAAUCCUAUUCUUGAAUUCAAUAUUCUUCUGAAAUACUUUGUUCUUUACAUAGUUGAAUGUAUUGACAACAAAAUCACACAAAAAUUCAAAAAUGGAAUUCAAAUUUUUCAACCCAUGGAGGUCUGGAUUUGGAGUCACACUCAAAAUUAAAGUGGAAAAACACACUACAGGCUGAUCCAACCAUGGGCGUGUGUCGUCGUCCCCCCACCCCCCCUGGAUUUUUCAGCUCGUGCUGCUAUUUUUGGUUUGUGUGAGAAUACACUGCAAUACCGGCACUGGCCAGUAGGUGGAAUAGAUAAAGGCAAGAAGCUACAGCUUAUCCCUGCCUCUCGCUCAUGACUGAAACCGCAGGGGAGCAGCACAGAGGCAAGUGAGGGAUGGGGGGCACUAUUACCCCCUC